GACGGAGCACGCCGCGUGAGUGAUGAAGGUUUUCGGAUCGUAAAGCUCUGUUGCCAGGGAAGAACGCCUAGGAGAGUAACUGCUCCUAGGGUGACGGUACCUGAGAAGAAAGCCCCGGCUAACUACGUGCCAGCAGCCGCGGUAAUACGUAGGGGGCGAGCGUUGUCCGGAAUUAUUGGGCGUAAAGCGCGCGCAGGCGGCAAUGUAAGUUGGGUGUUUAAACCUAGGGCUCAACCUUGGGUCGCAUCCAAAACUGCAUAGCUUGAGUACAGAAGAGGAAAGUGGAAUUCCACGUGUAGCGGUGAAAUGCGUAGAGAUGUGGAGGAACACCAGUGGCGAAGGCGACUUUCUGGGCUGUAACUGACGCUGAGGCGCGA
rnacentral:rRNA from 1 species